GGUUUGUGUCUCAGUGGUAGAGCGCUUGCCUAGCAUGUGUGAGGCACUGGGUUUGAUUCUCAGUACCA
rnacentral:tRNA from 1 species